GCACGCAAAACAGUGCCCAUGCAACACACCAAACACUUUAAGUUUCUUUUUCCUUUUUCUUUUCUAGAAACAGAAAAUAUUCCAUCUAAAUUUAGCAAUCUUUGUCUUCCCUUUAUAGACUAGCUAGUACCCCAAAAAGGAAUUGAAAGACAGAAAGAGAGAUUUAAAACCUUGGCUUUCCUCUCUUCAUAUUCACAUUCAGGGGUAAAAGAGAAAGAAUUAAGAUGGAUCGUGGGAAAAUAGAGAUAAAGAGGAUCGAGAAUGCGAAUAGCAGACAAGUUACUUUCUCCAAGAGGCGUGCUGGUUUGCUCAAGAAGGCUCAUGAGCUCUCUGUUCUUUGCGACUCUGAGGUUGCCGUCAUCGUCUUCUCCAAGUCCGGCAAGCUCUUCGAGUUCUCAAGUACUGGCAUGAAGCGAACGCUUUUGAGAUACGAGAACUACCAACGUUCUUCAGAUGCUCCUCUGAUUAAAUAUAAACCAGAGAACCAGGAGGAGGAUUGUACAGAGGUGGACUUUUUAAAGAAUGAGAUCUCAAAGCUUCAAGAGAAACAUUUACAAAUGCAAGGUAAGGGCUUGAAUGCUCUGUGCUUGAAAGAGCUGCAACACCUUGAACAGCAACUAAAUGUCUCGUUGAUAUCUGUGAGAGAGCGAAAAGAACUAUUGUUGACUAAACAAAUUGAAGAAUCACGUAUCAGGGAACAGAGAGCAGAGCUGGAAAACGAGACCUUACGUAGACAGGUUCAAGAACUUAGAAAUUUUCUCCCGUCCAUCAACCAAAACUAUGUUCCAUCCUACAUCACAUGCUUCGCUAUAGAUCCCAAGAACUCCCCCGUGAACAACUCUGGCUUGGACGACACUAAUUACAGUCUCCAGAAGACCAAUUCAGACACAACAUUGCAGUUGGGGUUGCCGGGAGAAGCACAGGCUAGAAGGAGGAGUGAAGGAAAUAGAGAGAGCCCAUCAAGUGAUUCAGUAACAACGAGCACCACCAAAGCAACUCCACAAAGGAUCAAUCUAGUUUAGCACCUGAAAACAAAAGCAAAUGGUUCUCUGCUUAGCCACAUAGAAAUAUGGGAAUGAGGCACAUGAUGUUUUCCUCUGUAGCAAGUAUCACAUUAUUUCAAAACCAAUGUUAGAAGAGAUGAAUCCGAUGUAUCUCAUCUCACAUUCUAGUCUAACUCUAACCCCACUCUUUAAUAUUUAUCUCAUUUUCUUCUGAUUA